AACGAACGCUGGCGGCAGGCUUAACACAUGCAAGUCGAACGCCCCGCAAGGGGAGUGGCAGACGGGUGAGUAACGCGUGGGAACGUACCUUUCGCUUCGGAAUAUUCCCGGGAAACUGGGAGCAAUGCCGAAUACGCCGUAUUGGGAAAGAUUUAUCGGCGAAAGAUCGGCCCGCGUUAGAUUAGGUAGUUGGCGGUGUAAUGGACCACCAAGCCUACGAUCUAUAGCUGGUCUGAGAGGAUGAUCAGCCACACUGGGACUGAGACACGGCCCAGACUCCUACGGGAGGCAGCAGUGGGGAAUCUUGGACAAUGGGCGCAAGCCUGAUCCAGCCAUGCCGCGUGAGUGAAGAAGGCCUUAGGGUUGUAAAACUCUUUCGGCCGGGAAGAAAUCGCACAGGUUAAUACCCUGUGUGGAUGACGGUACCGGAAUAAGAAGCACGGCUAACUACGUGCCAGCAGCCGCGGUAAAGUCU
rnacentral:rRNA from 1 species